CAAAGGCACAGGUAGGAAGACAAGCCAUCAGGCACCCUCACUGUCAUGUGCCAUGUAAAUCUCAGCAGGAGGCUCCAUGGAGGCUUUCCUGAGAAAAAUAGCUAAAUCGAGAAUGUAGGAACAAGAAAUGAUGACUCAGGUGAAGGAGCCAAGAAAGGAGGGGGAGAAAAAAAAGGCCAUCUGGGCAGAAUGUAUGCAAAGGUCCAGAGAUGAAAGAGUGUGACAUCUUUCUGCAAACAGUUGAGCAAGACCAUGGAGGCAAAAAGAUGAGAGAGACAUCUCAGCAGUAAGGAACCUGUGGCAAGUCAUACAAUUUAUUAAUUUUCAUAAACUGCUUUGAUGGAAACUUUCUUAAAAGAUGCAAAGUAACCUUUCUCGAGCUCUCCUUUUACUUCAGAUCAUGGACAGCAUUUUCAACCUCAGAAUACCAAAAGAAGAUUGCCCAUAUCCUGGAAAAUGCUCCUGCCUGGACAGGAAACAUGGGAGGAAUCCCUUGCUGAGACAUCAAGAUGGCUCCAGGUGAAAAUGGAUGGAGCUGACCAUGGGAAAUAUACUGGAAAUUCUUAAAGCAUUAUAUGGAAUCAUCUCUACAGAUAGCCCUUCAUCAAAAAACCUGAAAACAUUAACAGACUGUCGGUAGCGCAUCUGUUUAAAUUCAAGAAUAAAGAAGACUGUGUCAGCCUUA